AUGGUGGCUGCUGGGCUGGCAAUUGUUUACUGUAUGAGUUGCAAAUUUUCUCACUUUGUCAUUGAUCUCAAGGACCUGAGCCUCAUGGAUAAGUUCCGUUGUCAUCGAACCAUGGCGUACCCUUUCCAAAUGCCAUGGCCACCUGCUGCGUUGGUGCCUACUUCUCCGUGUGAUCGACCCACCACACCCCAAACAUAUGCUUGCGGAGAUGCUCAAAAUCAACACGAAGCACCCUCUUCUAGUAGGAAGCGCAAGAGCAAUGAUGAAGUGGAGCCAUGUAUUCUCGUAGCUUCUUUGAAGAAGGAAUUUGUCGGAUAA
rnacentral:rRNA from 1 species